CCCAGAGGUAUUGAUUGGUGAACAUCAGCAAGUUGCUUGUUGAAACUGUUUGUUGAAACCAUCUUGAUUACACCAACCUACGCAAAUGCGUAGGUUUUUUUU
rnacentral:sRNA from 1 species